rnacentral:rRNA from 1 species
AGUUAAGUGAACAAGGGCAUACGGCGGAUGCCUUGGCGCCAAGAGCCGAUGAAGGACGCGGUAAGCUGCGAAAAGGUAUGGUAAGGAGCAAGCAUCCAGUGACCCAUACAUUUCCGAAUGGGGCAACCCAUCAUCAGUAAUGUGAUGAUACGAAAGAGGCAGACCCGGGGAACUGAAACAUCUAAGUACCCGGAGGAAAAGUAAUCAAAUGAGAUUCCCUAAGUAGCGGCGAGCGAAAGGGGAAGAGCCCAAACCAGAUAACUUCGGUUGUCUGGGGUUGAGGACUGGCAAAAAGAGGAAACUUCUUAGCCGAAUGGUCUGGAAAGGCCAUGCGUAGAAGGUGAAACACCUGUAGGCGAAAAGGAGUGAAUCGGGCUGGUAUCCAGAGUACUACGAGACACGUGAAACCUUGUAGGAAGCAGGGGGGACCACCCUCCAAGGCAAAAUACUAAUUGGCGACCGAUAGAGAAUAGUACCGUGAGGGAAAGGUGAAAAGAACCCCGGGAGGGGAGUGAAAUAGAACCUGAAACCGUAUGUCUACAAGCAGUCGAAGCACCUUAAGAGUGCGACGGCGUGCCUAUUGAAGAAUGAACCGGCGAGUUACAUUAUGUUGCGAGGUUAAGUGGGAGACACGGAGCCGAAGCGAAAGCGAGUCUUAAUAGGGCGACAAGUAACAUGGUGUAGACCCGAAACCGCAGUGAUCUAUCCAUGGUCAGGUUGAAGCGCAGGUAAAAAUGCGUGGAGGACCGAACCCGUGAGUGUUGAAAAACUUUGGGAUGAACCGUGGAUAGGGGUGAAAUGCCAAUCGAACGCGGAGAUAGCUGGUACUCCCCGAAAUAGCUUUAGGGCUAGCCUCAGGGAAGAUUAUAGACGGUAGAGCACUGUUCUGGUAAGGGGGCGUAAAGCCUACCGACCCUAGACAAACUUCGAAUGGCUAUAAUUAAGACCCUGGGAGUCAGACUGCGAGUGAUAAGACCCGUAGUCAAGAGGGAAACAGCCCAGACCACCGACUAAGGUCCCCAAUGCUGUACUAAGUGGAGAAGGAUGUAAGACUUCAUAAACAACCAGGAUGUUGGCUUAGAAGCAGCCACCAUUAAAAGAGUGCGUAAUAGCUCACUGGUCGAGAGGCCUUGCGCCGAAGAUGUCCGGGGCUCAAGUACAGAACCGAAGUCGUGGCAGGAUGAAUAAUUCUGGGUAGGGGAGCGUUGUGUAUUCGACUGAAGGUGUACCGUAAGGAGCGCUGGAGGAUACACAAGAGAGAAUGCCGGUAUGAGUAGCGAAAAGAACAGUGAGAAUCUGUUCCACCGAAAGCCUAAGGUUUCCUGAGCAACGCUCGUCGACUCAGGGUAAGUCGGGACCUAAGCCGAGGCAAAAAGCAUAGGCGAUGGACAACAGGUUAAUAUUCCUGUACCGCUUCAAAUCGUUUGAGCAAUGGAGUGACACAGAAGGUAGCUUGAGCACGCGACUGGAAGAGCGUGUCGAAGGUGGUAGGUUGUGAUAUAGGAAAAUCCGUAUCAUAAGACCGAGAGCUGAUAGAUAGACGAUACUUCGGUAGAGUCAAAUUCAAGUGAGCCAUGCUGUCGAGAAAAGCUUCUAGUGAGAGAUGGAGCGCCCGUACCGAAACCGACACAGGUAGGCGGGGAGAGAAUCCUAAGGUGCGCGGGACAACCCUCGUUAAGGAACUCGGCAAAUUGUAUCCGUAACUUAGGGAUAAGGAUAGCCGGAGGAUGUGAAGGGAUUAACUUCUGGAGCGUCAGCCGGUGGCACAAGAGAGGCCCAAGCGACUGUUUAGCACAAACACAGGUGCCUGCGAAAGAGAAAUCUGAAGUAUAGGUGCUGACACCUGCCCGGUGCUGGAAGGUUAAGAGGAGGGCUUAGAGGCAACUCGAAGGCUUGAAUUGAAGCCCCAGUAAACGGCGGCCGUAACUAUAACGGUCCUAAGGUAGCGAAAUUCCUUGUCGGGUAAGUUCCGACCCGCACGAAAGGUGUAACGACUUGGGCACUGUCUCAACGAGGGACCCGGUGAAAUUGAAGUACCUGUGAAGAUGCAGGUUACCCGCGACUGGACAGAAAGACCCCAUGGAGC